rnacentral:rRNA from 1 species
GACGAACGCUGGCGGCGUGCUUAACACAUGCAAGUCGAACGCUGAAGCUCAGCUUUUGUUGGGUGGAUGAGUGGCGAACGGGUGAGUAACACGUGAGUAACCUGCCCCCUUCUUUGGGAUAACGCCCGGAAACGGGUGCUAAUACUGGAUAUUCACUGGUCUUCGCAUGGGGGUUGGUGGAAAGGGUUUUUCUGGUGGGGGAUGGGCUCGCGGCCUAUCAGCUUGUUGGUGGGGUGAUGGCCUACCAAGGCUUUGACGGGUAGCAGGCCUGAGAGGGUGACCGGUCACAUUGGGACUGAGAUACGGCCCAGACUCCUACGGGAGGCAGCAGUGGGGAAUAUUGCACAAUGGGCGCAAGCCUGAUGCAGCGACGCCGCGUGAGGGAUGGAGGCCUUCGGGUUGUGAACCUCUUUCGCUCAUGGUCAAGCCGCAACAAUGGUUGUGGUGAGGGUAGUGGGUAAAGAAGCGCCGGCUAACUACGUG